rnacentral:misc_RNA from 1 species
GAUGAAGAACGUAGCGAAAUGCGAUAAGUAGUGUGAAUUGCAGAAUUCAGUGAAUCAUCGAAUCUUUGAACGCACAUUGCGCCCUUUGGUAUUCCAAAGGGCAUGCCUGUUCGAGCGUCAUUUGUACCCUCAAGCUUUGCUUGGUGUUGGGCGUCUUGUCUCUAGCUUUGCUGGAGACUCGCCUUAAAGUAAUUGGCAGCCGGCCUACUGGUUCGGAGCGCAGCACAAGUCGCACUCUCUAUCAGCAAAGGUCUAGCAUCCAUUAAGCCUUUUUUUCAACUUUUGACCUCGGAUCAGGUAGGGAUACCCGCUGAACUUAAGCAUAUCAAUAAGCGGAGGA